rnacentral:lncRNA from 1 species
UCAGCCUGCCUUGCCACAUCACUCACAUGAGAAAAUACAAAGACAGCAUUUAAGAGUAGAAAACAGAAGAGAGAGAGAGAGAGAGAGAGAGAGAGAGAGAGAGAGAGAGAGAGANNNNNNNNNNNNNNNNNNNNNNNNNNNNNNNNNNNNNNNNNNNNNNNNNNNNNNNNNNNNNNNNNNNNNNNNNNNNNNNNNNNNNNNNNNNNNNNNNNNNCAAUGAUGCCCACCUGGACAGGCCACCGGAUGUGAUGAUGCACCCCCAAGCCCUAGUCCCACAGCAGCCAGAGACCACCUGCUGCUCGUCCCGGGUGAAACACAAGCCCUGGUCCCACAGCAGCCAGAGACCACCCGCUGCUCAUCCCGGGUGAAACAGCAGAGCUACCUGAGCCCUCAAAAGCAGGAAGAAUUAAGGAGGCAAUUCCCACGACACACAUGACACUUCUCGGAGACAGACACAGGCUUCGCUGUGAAAGUGCAGAGGACGGUGCAGUCCCUAGGUGGGCUGCUUCUUCCAACGAUCAGGAAGAAAUCAGAUCCAUUUCCUUGUAGGAGAAUCAUUUCUACCGUGAUUAGACAGAAGACAGAAGGUGGCUGAUGUUGUCAAAUCACCAAGCACCUCACAGCUGCUUCUCCAAGGAAGGCUUGGAAACUUGCAGCCACCCGCGUAGGGGCCGCAGUGCUAAUGGAGACACGGGUGACUGAGGUCUGGCUUCCUCAGGGAAGCUAAAUUUGAACUUUCACCACUGAGGAAUCGGUCAUUUACAGUCACUCACCCUCAAUGCAGAAGAGGGCUCAAGACACUGCACCAGACUUCAACACUCAGGGUUAGGGUCAGGGUCAAAUUCACAAGUUUUACAAAAUGUAUUUCCUUGGGAUGCCAGAAGAGAUGCAGCUUCACAUCCCCCCACCUCCAUGGUUUGCUUAGAGAUUACACUCCUCCAAACAACGACAUUGCGACUGUCAUUUCACCCGAAAGGGCUUUAGGAAAUGACACACAGUCCAGAUGCCAGAGGUCGCCGGCCGCCUUACUCUAGCCUAAUUCCUUUGUGCCUGUAUGGAGGCUUCACAGAUACAGCCCAUUAAUGACCGUAUGAGAAGCUCAGGGCAUAGACGAACUCAGCGCUGAAUUUUUUUCAUUUAUCACCCUUUUGUUUUGUCCAGAAGACAGCUGAGAAAGGCGGGGGCAGAUCAUCUCGAGUGUAAUGACUCUAGCCACUUCUCUUCACCCCAGGUCACCACUCAGUCAACACACUUUUGAGAAACCAAAGCAAUUCUGUUCCCUUCACUCUGGGUUCCAAGCACUAAAUUCCUCCGUUUUAUCAAUUAGAUUAUCAAGCAGCCAUUUGUAAUCUGGACUGCAAUCUGAUACGAAAUUUAAAGCUAAUUUAGGUUGCAGUAAUACCUGCUAUUUACAUUAUAGAUAAGGCAUGAAUGAAAACUUUAAUCUGUUCAUAGGACCAACUUUGUAAACAAACCAAUUAUUCAAGCAAUGAUUGUCUACAGUUAGAUGCAAAUUACUUUGCUCAUAAAAGAUUUUCCAGUAGCAAUUUUUAAAUCCAUGGUCUGUCUUUUCUGAGCCUGUCUCUGCACCUUCCCCUGAGUGCACAGCAGGACUUCUCAGGGCAUCCCAUCAGCAGGCCCACUGAAGAGAAUAAGCCCGCAGCCCCCAGCCCAGGAAUCAAGUCCGAGCCCCAGCAGCCCCUCGUCCAGCCGGGGCUUCCUCACCAGCACAGCACCCAGAGGUCUUCCAGGUUUAAUGCCAUGUGUGCGUGGAAAGUAGAGUGCUGGAAAGACCACAGUGGACAUUCUACAAAUGCAAAUUCCCUCCUGGAACAGCCCAGCAACCCUCUGUACCUUCCCCAAAGUACCCAUGCCAGGCAGGCGUAGAGUCUAAUGGGGUGCCUAGGAAUCAGCAUUUAACACGAUUCUGAUGAAUAAAAAAUUUGAGAGGUCGGUCAGCGAGAGGCUGCCGUGGCCUCCACUCAUUUGCAGGCUCUGAAGAGACACAGAUUCAGGUAACAGGCCAGACAGGACAGGACAAGGAUGGGGAGGUGGAGGGCAAAUUCCAUGGACCACCAACCACCCCGCCAUCCCCACUGAGACUCCGUGAUUUAAAGAGAGGCAAAGCCAGGGAGAAAAGAUGCCCGCACCACACGAGGGACUGAGA